AUGGCGUCGCGGCGGCUUGGGUAGUUCCGUGGAGAGCGUGGGGAGUGGCGUGGGCCCCUGCGCGGCGUGGGCGGGGCGUGCUCCCCGCCGCUCUCCUCACCCGAACUCCCUAGCUGGGUCAACUCUGCUGGACCGGUCCGGACGACAGGCUCUGAUAGGCUUCGUCUUGCGCGGUGACCUCUUGACUGCCCGUCCCUUUAUGACAUGAUUGUGUGUAGAAGUUCCUAAGGAAUCUCCAGAACUUACGUUAGAGGUAAUGAGUGAAUUAAGAAGGCCACAGGAUGCAAGAUCCUGAAGGAAAGCACGUCUUUCUCACGGGUUCUUUUUGAGGAUUAACGGAUAAUGGGUACGGGGCCUGGCACAUCGCAGUUCGGGGCAGAAUGAGAGCACGUGUGCAUUCCGUGCACUGGAGUUUAAAUCUCGGCUCUUGCUAAGACACAAAGUGGCUAUGUGAGGUGGUUCUAUGAUUUUUUAUUAAUACUGUUUACAUGGCAAGUAAUAGAAACUGACACUGGCUUGAGAAAAGGAGAAUUUAUUGGAAAGAUACUGGAAUAUCUCGCAGAACCCAGCAACGAGCUCAGUAACCAAGGCUUGAGGAAAGGGAACAGGGAAGCACUGAGGUCCUGGCAGCAGGGGGACAGUAACAUCUGCUGUGUAAGUCUCCAGAUUCUCAGCCCCAAAUUACACAUUCCUGGCACGAAAUCUGAUGGCCCGGUUUGACUGUGGCAUGGGGGUAGGGUCACUUAACACAGACAUGACUGUUGGACAGUGUUCAGAGCAGGCAGACUUGCAGCAGGUCAGCCUCUUUAAGUGGUGUCUACUCCAGUUUCCUAUGUGGGCUAUCUUGGUUACAUCUUUUGUAUCAAAACUAUCGAAAUAUGAAAUGUUCUCUCAGCACUUCCCUUGGCCAUCUCCCACAUUUGUGCAUCCAGGACAUCUGUACUCUAAGGAAAGGCAUGUGAUAGCUAAAAAGAGAAAAACUGGAUUAUUUUAGAAGGAGUGUUCUUAUGAGAUGGUAAGGAGAUUAUUAACCCAAGCCUUCUCUACCAAGAUUAUUCCCUGACUUGGGGAAGGGUAUAACGUUAGAAGGGAAACUGUGAGAAUGAAAAUACCAUUAGAUCUCAGCAAGAGUGAGCGGGCAUGCUGCUCCCCAGACCAAGCCCCAGGCGGGUGACAGAAACCCCGCCUGAUUUGUGGAGCUGAGACACUCAGGGGUUCCUGGAGAGACAGUGAGACCCGCAGAAGAAAGGAAUAAUUCCCAAGCACGUAGGAGCAGCGUGGAGUGGCAGACAGCCACCGAACCCAAGAGUUCAUGAAGAUGGGGAAGACAAACGACCCCACACGCAAUCAGCUGCCUGUAUCACGGGUCAGAUGGGGGGAUGGACACGCCAGCAGAUGCCUGGAAUGCAGCAGAAGGUGCACAGAUGAAUGAAUGAAUGAGUGACACUGUGGCAGUUGGUAAACUCCCUAGAAUUUAGACACAAUCCUGGUGAAAUUUUAGGUUAAAAUUCUUCCAUCCUGAGUUGGAAAAGGAAAACAAAAACAAAGAAAAUUUACAUUUCUGCAAUGACUGAGGUUGUAAACUGAUAUAUCUGCAACAUUUACUUACUAAAACUGAACUGCAUGCAAUUGUAACUUUUUCUGUGCUGGGGGACUUUUUAUAUGGGCUUGGGUUCAUUUAUUUCUUGAAAGUUUGAGAGCCUCCACCAUCAAUCCUAGUUGUACACAUACAAAUGUAGCUUUUGUGGAAAUGGACAAAAUUUUGACAUUUUUGACAGUGGUUGUUUUCUGAAGAAAUGAAAUUAUUUACUCUUCCCUCUUGCUGUGUCAGUAUCUUAAAAUACAUUUCCCUUUGUUAAAAAGUGAUGUAUCCAUUUGUAUACGAUUUAAAAAAUUCAAGUCAAGCAGAGGGAAGACAAAUUAUCCAUAAUUUCACUACUCAGAGAAAAAAUACUGUUAAGAAAUUGGUGUCUAUUUAUUUAUAAUUCUUAAUAUAUAAUACUUUACAUUUUAAUCAACUUUAUUUUCCAUUUCUUUUAAACAUUUAAAUUCAUUAUAAUUGUGUAGUAUUUACUUAUAAUUUUAUUUUAAAAUAUUUUAUAAUGUUAUUCUUUUUAUUAUUUUAAUGCUUGCUCAUUGUAAAGGAUUUGGGAAACAUACUAAAAUAUAAAUAAUACGAUAAAAACCAUCACACAACUUUUAACAUUUUGGUGUUUUUUCCUUUCAAAUCUUCGUGUGUAUACACAAGCACACA